CCUGCAUUUCUUUGCCUGAAAGGAGAAUAAAAGGAAAUCAAGGAUAUGUUGAAUAUAUCAAAGGGCAACACUUCUUUCUUCCCUCGCCUAUCUUUCCACCUCCAGUGCAUUGUCCACAAGGGACACGGCAUAGGAUGUGCUUUGAACUCAUACAGCUAGAAAGAGCAGGAGGAAUGGCAACAGGAUCCUAUACAAGCCCUUGGUCAUCACAGGGUACUACUCAGAUGGGUCUGGGCUGAGGUGACCAACUUGUGUCAGUUUCCUUUGGACUUUCCCAGUUUUAGCAAUGAAAAGUGUGUGUCUUGAACAAGUUGUGAUCAGUGGAAACCUCACUGCAUCGCCCAAACACAACUCUGAGUGUCUACUAUGUGUUCAGAGACCCUUAAGGCCACUUAUGGCCUGGCCAGCCAGUCCUCUAGCCUGUCCUCAUCUGCAUUUGUCUUUCUUAUGUUUACACAAGCUGUUCAAGGUUGCCCCCUCAUUAAUGAUUUCACAUUCAUGCCUGGCCUUAGUUGUCCUGAAUGUUUGACCCUCUGUUAAUUUGAUUUUAUUCUCUGACAUGACCUUGGGCUUCUAUAGCUACAAGAUGAAAAUGCUCUUUGGAGUGACAAUGAAAAUGGGAUGUGAGUAAAUUCUUAGGAACUCAAUGACUUACAGCAGAAAAGUAUGGAAUGCAGGGGUAGAAAGGUGGGGCUGGGCCCUGCUACAGCAUGCAGAGUGUGCCCAUGGAUUUGCACAAAUGCUGCUAAAAUGCCAAAAGCAGGUGUUUCUUUUUUUCUUCAGUGUGAGCUUCAAGCUAAUAUGGGCAUUCAGCUAAAUGCCACCCAGGUGCUGAAACAGUAUGUGGUUUUAGGAUUUCAGAGGUAAUUAUUGCUGAACGCACUGUAUGGCCAGUGCACCUGCUAGGUAGAUGCUAUGAAGAAGUGUGCAAGGAGCACUAGGCAAACUUGGAGGACAAUCUCUCCACCACAAGGCCCCUUCCAAAGCUUACUAUGGCCAUCAAAAGCAAGACAUGGAGCUGAACAUAUUUAUAAGAUUAUUGGGAACACACAUGACAGGGGAGGAGUUAAGAAUUCUAGUAACUGGUCUCUGAAGUCCAUGCUGCUAUGUCCUGGUUCAUGCUCUGUCUCUUCCCACUGGAAUGUCAAUAUCCAUGGUGAGAUAUCUUACCUGAUGGCUUGGUUGAUAGAGCUAAACCAAUAGGCUGGGUAGGUAUCCCUUCCUCCUCUAUGUCCAGGUGAAUGCUUCUUUAGUCAAAGCAAAGAACCAGGGUGGGUGUUUGGCAGAAUAGUUACAAUGUCACUUGGGAUGCAUACAUUCUGUAUCCAAGUGCCUUGGUUCAAGUCCCAGCUCCUACACCAUUCUCACUUCCUGCUAAUGUGCACCCUGACAGCAGGUGGUAGUUCACAAAGGAGACCUGGAUCACGUUCCUAGCUCCUGAUGUCAUUUGACCUGGUCUCUGCUGUUGGGGACAUAUAAGGGGUGAAACAGUAGAUGGGAUACCUCUCAAAUCUCUGCCUUUCAAGAAAACAAAAUAGUGAGAAAAUUAAAAAGCAGAGAACCACUAAAAGAGGCACUGAGUUUCUUCUAGAAGUGCUACUUCCCAUGGUUCUGACAUCCCUCUCUCCUGGUUUUCUUCCAAACUUUUCUCCUCAGCUGGGAGGUGGAAUCCUGUGUGUUUCUCUCCUUUGUGCUUAUCCAUCAGGAGAUGAAGAUGCUGCAUAGCAAACCACCCUGUAUGUGUAGUGCUUUACAACUGUUACACUGAUGCCCACAGUCUGAUUGUAUGUCUUUCGUGCAUCUCUGGUAGGUAAAUUUCCCCUGGAGUCAUAUGUGUGUAUGAGUGAGUGUGUGUGUGUGUGUGUCUUGUAUCAUGUUCUAAUUUGAACACUCUCUAACCCUGACUUUCAUCAUAUGAAAACUGAUCUAUGUCAUUAUAUCACAGUAGAGGCUACAAAAGACCAAUAAUAUUAGUGUGUAGAAAUAAUUUCUAGAAUAAAAACAUCAAUUUAUUCA
ensembl:lncRNA